CACUCCGGUGGCCUAGUGAUUAGAGCGUCCGUCUCAGAUGCGGGAGGUCAUGGGUUUAAUCCCCGUCCGAGUCGA